UACGUAGGGCGCAAGCGUUGUCCGGAAUUAUUGGGCGUAAAGAGCUCGUAGGCGGCCUGUUGCGUCCGCUGUGAAAUCCCGGGGCUCAACCCCGGGCGUGCAGUGGAUACGGGCUGGCUGGAGGCAGGCAGGGGAGAACGGAAUUCCUGGUGUAGCGGUGGAAAUGCGCAGAUAUCAGGAGGAACACCGGUGGCGAAGGCGGUUCUCUGGGCCUGUACUGACGUGGAGGAGCGAAAGCGUGGGGAGCGAACAGGA
rnacentral:rRNA from 1 species